rnacentral:rRNA from 1 species
CUCCUACGGGAGGCAGCAGUGGGGAAUUUUGGACAAUGGGGGCAACCCUGAUCCAGCCAUGCCGCGUGCGGGAAGAAGGCCUUCGGGUUGUAAACCGCUUUUGGUCGGGAAGAAAGGGCAGUCUUGAAUACGGACUGUUGUUGACGGUACCGGCAGAAUAAGCACCGGCUAACUACGUGCCAGCAGCCGCGGUAAUACGUAGGGUGCGAGCGUUAAUCGGAAUUACUGGGCGUAAAGCGUGCGCAGGCGGUUGGCCAAGUCUGAUGUGAAAGCCCCGGGCUUAACCUGGGAACGGCAUUGGAAACUGGUCGGCUGGAGUAUGGCAGAGGGGGGUGGAAUUCCACGUGUAGCAGUGAAAUGCGUAGAGAUGUGGAGGAACACCGAUGGCGAAGGCAGCCCCCUGGGCCAAUACUGACGCUCAGGCACGAAAGCGUGGGGAGCAAACAGGAUUAGAUACCCUGGUAGUCCACGCCCUAAACGAUGUCAACUUGGGUGUUGGGGAAGCGAUUCCUUGGUACCGUAGCUAACGCGUGAAGUUGACCGCUGGGGAGUACGGCCGCAAGGGUAAAACUCAAAGGAAUUGACGGGGACCCGCACAACCGGUGGAUGAUGUGAUUAAUUCGAUCCACCGCGACCACCCUUCCUACCCUUGCCAUGUCCGGAACCCUCUGAGAGGUGGGUGUGCCCGAAAGGGAAUCAGACCCCAGGUGCUGCAUGCCUGUCGUCAGCUCGUGUCGUGAGAUGUUGGGUUAAGUCCCGCACCGAGCCCAACCCUUGUCCCUAGUUGCUACGCAAGGGCCCUCUAGGGAGCCUCCCGGUGCCAACCCGGAGGAAGGUGGGGAUGCCGUCAAGUCCUCAUGGCCCUUAUGGGUAGGGCUUCCCCCGUCAUCCAAUGCCCGGUCCACAGGGUAGCCAACCCGCGAGGGGGAGCCAAUCCCCAUAAAACCCGGUCGUAGUCCGGAUUGCAGUCUGCACCUCGACUGCAUGAAGUCGGAAUCGCUAGUA